ensembl:snoRNA small nucleolar RNA R38
UCAAGCCUGUGAUGAGAGAAGUUAUCCCUGUCUGAAAAACACCUGUGGAGUUUUGGUAUUCUGAGGCUUGU